rnacentral:rRNA from 1 species
UACGAAGGUCCCAAGCGUUAUCCGGAUUUAUUGGGUUUAAAGGGUGCGUAGGCGGUCUAUUAAGUCAGUGGUGAAAGCCCCAAGCUCAACUUGGGAACUGCCAUUGAUACUGAUGGACCUGAGUACAUUUGAGGUGGGCGGAAUGUGUCAUGUAGCGGUGAAAUGCGUAGAUAUCGGGAGGAACACCAGUGGCGAAGGCGACUACCUGGCCUGUUCUUGACGCUGAGGCGCGAAAGCUAGGGGAGCAAACAGG